UGAGGAAUAUUGGUCAAUGGGCGAGAGCCUGAACCAGCCAAGUAGCGUGCAGGAUGACGGCCCUAUGGGUUGUAAACUGCUUUUAUAUGGGAAUAAAGUGAGGGACGUGUCCCUUAUUGCAUGUACCAUACGAAGAAGGAGCGGCUAAUUCCGUGCCAGCAGCCGCGGUAAUACGGAAGGUCCAGGCGUUAUCCGGAUUUAUUGGGUUUAAAGGGAGCGUAGGCUGUUUGUUAAGCGUGUUGUGAAAUGUAAGAGCUCAACUUUUAGAUUGCAGCGCGAACUGGCAGACUUGAGUGCGCACAACGUAGGCGGAAUUCAUGGUGUAGCGGUGAAAUGCUUAGAUAUCAUGACGAACUCCGAUUGCGAAGGCAGCUUACGGGAGCGCAACUGACGCUAAAGCUCGAAGGUGCGGGUAUCGAACAGG
rnacentral:rRNA from 1 species